ACAGGUCUUCGGAUGCUGACGAGUUGGCGAACGGGUGAGUAAUACAUCGGAACGUGCCCAGACGUGGGGGAUAACGAGGCGAAAGCUUUGCUAAUACCGCAUACGAUCUAAGGAUGAAAGCAGGGGACCGCAAGGCCUUGCGCGUUUGGAGCGGCCGAUGGCAGAUUAGGUAGUUGGUGGGAUAAAAGCUUACCAAGCCGACGAUCUGUAGCUGGUCUGAGAGGAUGACCAGCCACACUGGGACUGAGACACGGCCCAGACUCCUACGGGAGGCAGCAGUGGGGAAUUUUGGACAAUGGGCGAAAGCCUGAUCCAGCAAUGCCGCGUGCAGGAUGAAGGCCUUCGGGUUGUAAACUGCUUUUGUACGGAACGAAAAGGCUCUGGUUAAUACCUGGGGCACAUGACGGUACCGUAAGAAUAAGCACCGGCUAACUACGUGCCAGCAGCCGCGGUAAU
rnacentral:rRNA from 1 species